UACGUAGGGUGCAAGCGUUAAUCGGAAUUACUGGGCGUAAAGCGCGCGUAGGUGGUUCGUUAAGUUGGAUGUGAAAGCCCCGGGCUCAACCUGGGAACUGCAUCCAAAACUGGCGAGCUAGAGUACGGUAGAGGGUGGUGGAAUUUCCUGUGUAGCGGUGAAAUGCGUAGAUAUAGGAAGGAACACCAGUGGCGAAGGCGACCACCUGGACUGAUACUGACACUGAGGUGCGAAAGCGUGGGGAGCAAACAGGAUUAGAUACCCCGGUAGU
rnacentral:rRNA from 1 species